ACAGCAGUCGCCGCGGGAAUACGUAGGUGGCAAGCGUUGUCCGGAAUUAUUGGGCGUAAAGGGCUCGCAGGCGGUUUCUUAAGUUUGAUGUGAAAGCCCCCGGCUCAACCGGGGAGGGUCAUUGGAAACUGGGAAACUUGAGUGCAGAAGAGGAGAGUGGAAUUCCACGUGUAGCGGUGAAAUGCGUAGAGAUGUGGAGGAACACCAGUGGCGAAGGCGACUCUCUGGUCUGUAACUGACGCUGAGGAGCGAAAGCGUGGGGAGCGAACAGGAUUAGAUACCCGUGUAGUCCCUGUCUCUUAUAC
rnacentral:rRNA from 1 species